GUUAGAUUCCUGCAUCAGGAAGAUUCCCUGGUGAAGGAAAUGGCAACCCAGUCCAGUAUUCUUGGCUGGAAAAUCCCACAAACAGAAGAGCCUGGCGGGCCAUAGUCCAUGAAGUCACAAUAGUCAGACACGACUUAGCGACUAAACCACCGCCACCACCACAGCCCACAGCAACUGACAGAUCUAUGGAAAACAGUUUCACGUGUUCACAGUAUCCCUGGAGACCACUCACUGAUCAUUAGUCAUCAUCUCACAGCCUGUCCCCCACACACCAGGCCUCAGUGUCAGGCGCUGUGCUCAGUGCUUCAUAUUCACAUAUCUUAAUUCUCACCACACCCUGGGAAAGUAGUAUUCUAUUUUUAAGAUGUGGACAACUAGGCUCAUGGGGGUUACAUCCUUUAUUCAAGUUUAAGUCUCGUUAGAGCUGAUACUCAGAUCAAAGACCUGCCUGAUGCCAAAGCUCUUCUUCUUUCAUUACGCAGCUCACUGGUUAUGUUGAUGGGAAUGGAUAGGUGGACCAGCUUCAUUGGAUUGGCCCUGGAGGACCAAGAAUAGGCAUGUGUGUGCAGGGAUUUGCUUCCUGGAAGAUGCCACAACAAGUGGAGAACUACCACAAACUCUAAACUCUCUCCUAGCCCAGGGAUAAUGACAGAUGGUAGCUGUGACUUCUGGAGAACUGGCGUCUCAGGACAAAGCACCACCAUGAAAUUUGUAGAGAUGAGUACAUCUGGAAAGCUAUAACCAAGAUCUGUUUACCUUGAAAAGAAGCUGCUGGAGCCAUGGACUGGAAGGAACACUUAAGUGUCACUUCAGUUGUGUCUGACUCUGUGCAACCCCAUAGAUGGCAGCCCACCAGGCUCCUCUGUCCCUGGGAUUCUCCAGGCAAGAACACUAGAGUGGGUUGCCAUUUCCUUCUCCAACGCAUGAAAGUGAAGAGUGAAAGUGAAGUCACUCAGUUGUGUCCGACCCUCAGCUACCCCAUGGACUGCAUUCUACCAGGCUCCUCCAUCCCUGGGAUUUUCCAGGCAAUUGGAAAAUCGGUUGCCAAGAGGUUGCCAUUGCCUUCUCCAUUGUCUCUCCUAGUCUGGGCAAAUGAGGUAUUUCUGGAAGAACCUUGCAGGCAUGUGUGAAUACUUCAGACUCCAUGUUCAAGCCCUCUUCAUACCUGCCGCCAGAUACUUGGAGCCCUUACUCCGAAUAUUUGCCCCUUGGUGAUACCUGUAGCCAAGGGGUGAGUAUACUGGUGUCAUGGUCUACACUUGGUAGGUAGGCCAGGGAAAAGGGCUUUGUUAACACUGGAAGAGGGCUCAGAAAUAUUGGGCAGGAAAUACUAGGAUCCCAGCUACUGGGUUUAGAAGGCGGACAUACACAGACUCUGAGUGUUCAAGUUCCUGUACUUUUCCCUUGGGUUCUUCGCCCCAUUGUAGGUGAAAGACAGAGUAGGACUUUAUAGAGAACUGGGCUUAGCACAGGGGUGCUAGUUUACAAAGUCUAAAGUAAGUACUGUGCGUGCGGUAUGGUGUGGUACAAAAGUGGUUAGUGGGACAAAAGUGGUUAUUUCUAUUUCCAAAUUAGGUAGAAGAAAUGGGAGAGGGAAGAAAUAGGACAUUCUCUAUAGAAAAAUGACAUCUGAACUCAGUUUUUAGAGAUUAGGAACUUUCCAAGUGUGCUGAGAUAAGAAUGGAGUUAGGAGGAGAAAAUAUGUCAAGCAGGGGCUGGAGUGUGCAAAAAAAAAUUAGAGACUCAAUAUGACAGCCUUUUCCAUGGACUGUGAGUAAUUUAGUAGGGCUAUAGCAUAGCACGAGAGGCGUGGAGGCUCCUAGGAUGGCUGAACCUGUGUCGCUGAGGGCCUUGCUUGUUUUACAUUAGAGGCUUUCUCUACUCCUUUCUUUUGCUGGUGUUGGGGAAUUAUCUACCAAUACCAUCCAACCUCUGUUUUAGUUAUAGCAACAUGCACGUUGGAUGUAAGUUUAUUGUAAUGUUUUCAGGUGAAAGGUGAAGAGAAGGUGAACCUUAGUCAUAGCACUAUGGAAACAUGUUUAUUAUGUAAGAGGCACUUUCCCAAGGGUUUUACAGAUAUGAUUUAAUCUUUAUAUGAAUCAUGAGCAAUAGGUACUAUUAUUUAUCCCAAUUUAUAGAUGGAGAAACUCAGGCCAAAAAAAAAAAAAAAGGUUAAAUAAGAGACUAUUAACUGAAUGUCUGUGUCCACUCAAAAUUCACAUGUUGAAGCCCUAAUCAUAUGAUGGUAUUUGGUGGUGAGGUCUUUGGGAGGUAGCAGCCCACUCCAGUGUUCUUGCUUGGAGAAUCCCAGGGAUGGGGGAGCCUGGUGGGCUGCCAUCUAUGGGGUCGCACAGAGUUGGACACGACUGAAGUGACUUAGCA
ensembl:lncRNA